AGACCCGAAACCCGGUGAUCUAGCCAUGGGCAGGUUGAAGGUUGGGUAACACUAACUGGAGGACCGAACCGACUAAUGUUGAAAAAUUAGCGGAUGACCUGUGGCUGGGGGUGAAAGGCCAAUCAAACCGGGAGAUAGCUGGUUCUCCCCGAAAGCUAUUUAGGUAGCGCCUCGUGAAUUCAUCUCCGGGGGUAGAGCACUGUUUCGGCUAGGGGGCCAUCCCGGCUUACCAACCCGAUGCAAACUGCGAAUACCGGAGAAUGUUAUCACGGGAGACACACGGCGGGUGCUAACGUCCGUCGUGAAGAGGGAAACAACCCAGACCGCCAGCUAAGGUCCCAAAGUCAUGGUUAAGUGGGAAACGAUGUGGGAAGGCCCAGACAGCCAGGAUGUUGGCUUAGAAGCAGCCAUCAUUUAAAGAAAGCGUAAUAGCUCACUGGUCGAGUCGGCCUGCGCGGAAGAUGUAACGGGGCUAAACCAUGCACCGAAGCUGCGGCAGCGAACGUAUCACUUAAAGCGAUUCAGCGGGUUACGAUU
rnacentral:rRNA from 2 species